rnacentral:rRNA from 1 species
GACGAACGCUGGCGGCGUGCUUAACACAUGCAAGUCGAACGCUGAAGCUUGGUGCUUGCACUGGGUGGAUGAGUGGCGAACGGGUGAGUAAUACGUGAGUAACCUGCCCUUGACUCUGGGAUAAGCCUGGGAAACUGGGUCUAAUACUGGAUACGACAUGUCACCGCAUGGUGGUGUGUGGAAAGGGUUUUAGUGGUUUUGGAUGGGCUCACGGCCUAUCAGCUUGUUGGUGGGGUAAUGGCUCACCAAGGCGACGACGGGUAGCCGGCCUGAGAGGGUGACCGGCCACACUGGGACUGAGACACGGCCCAGACUCCUACGGGAGGCAGCAGUGGGGAAUAUUGCACAAUGGGCGGAAGCCUGAUGCAGCGACGCCGCGUGAGGGAUGACGGCCUUCGGGUUGUAAACCUCUUUCAGCACGGAAGAAGCGAAAGUGACGGUACGUGCAGAAGAAGCGCCGGCUAACUACGUG